GUUUUUGUAGUUGAAUACAACAGUAGUUUUUCAGACUGCGAGUCUAGGUUAGAGCCCUGGCAAGAAUU
rnacentral:tRNA from 1 species